AUUUCUCUGAGAUGUUUGCAAGCGGGCCAGUCCCCUGAGCCGAUAUUUCAUACCACAAGAAUGUGGCGCUCCGCGGUUGGUGAGCAUGCUCGGUUCGUCCGAGAAGCCUUAAAACUGUGACGACACAUUCACUUUGAACCAAGGGUUCAAGGGUUACAGCCUGCGGCGGCAUCUCGGAGAUUCC
rnacentral:other from 2 species